GAUGAACGCUGGCGGCGUGCCUAAUACAUGCAAGUCGAGCGAACAGACGAGGAGCUUGCUCCUCUGACGUUAGCGGCGGACGGGUGAGUAACACGUGGAUAACCUACCUAUAAGACUGGGAUAACUUCGGGAAACCGGAGCUAAUACCGGAUAAUAUAUUGAACCGCAUGGUUCAAUAGUGAAAGACGGUUUUGCUGUCACUUAUAGAUGGAUCCGCGUCGGAUUAGCUAGUUGGUAAGGUAACGGCUCACCAAGGCGACGAUGCGUAGCUGACCUGAGAGGAGGAUCAGCCACAGUGGAACUGAGACACGGUCAAGACUCCUACGGGAGGAAGCAGUGGGGAAUAUUGGACAAUGGGCGCAAGCCUGAUCCAGCAAUACCGCGUGAGUGAAGAAGGUGUUCGGGUUGUAAAGCCCUUUUGUUGGGAAAGAAAAGAAGCAGGUUAAUACCCCGCUGUUCUGACGGUACCCAAAGAAUAAGCACCGGCUAACUUCGUG
rnacentral:rRNA from 1 species